AUAAGUGAAAGAUGCCAGAAGAGGGAGAGAAUGGGGUGGGGAAAAGGGAGCUACCCGCAAGCAUGAAGCAUGUUUUAGUUUAUACAGCUGCAAAGAUCAAAAUAUCUCAGCCUAUAAGGUUUAACAUACCUCAAGAUUACAGAGAUGAAGAACAAAAAUGCCCACACCAUUGAGAACAUGUCAAUUUUAUCAAUUUUUCAGGUGCCAACCAGCAGGGAAGUUUUGUCUGAAACAUUGAAGGAAUUCAAGUUAAAAGAGGGCAAGUUCCAGAGAGGAGGGCCUUAUCUCAGUAAGGAGACCUACAAGUGGCUUCCUAGUGUGAAUUCUCUUUUGCUACCUCAAUGACAGAAUGCAUGGAAUGAAAAUAGAAACAAAUGGACUGUUGUGAAGCUGUGCU